GUCAUAAUUUUUGGUAUAAUAGUUGUGAUUCAUUCACACUAUAUACAUUUGGCUUCCACAACACUAGGAACAAUCGUCACCGGCCUUUCAAUUUAAUCCAUAAGCCUCUAUCGAUAAAGCCAAAUUACAUCAGAGAGCAGAGCACACAAGCUUAUACAAAGGUCGCCAUAAUAACAUCCACACAUUGGAAAAUAUGAGUUUGGAUUUAUUACUUUAUUUGUCUUGAUGCAGAGCUACUCAACCAAGUUCUAUCCAAGGAUAUUAAGAAGCUUAACCCGAUAGAUCAGUAGUUUGAGCAUGAAAACUGGAGAAAGAAAUAUUGAUUUGACAAUGUAGCAAGUGUUGGAGGAACGCGUGGUUAUCUUUGUGGAUGUAAUUUAAAAAGAGGAACGAAGUUCACAAUAUAGUUUUCAAUGUUCUGCUGCUAUUCCCCGAGGAUGGUUUAUGCCUCACUUUUGGGUUUGCAAAAUCAUAGCUCUUCUUUUCAAGUAUUUAUUGCUGUAAGAGUUACAAGUAUAUGUCCCAAGCAUACAGAGUGUAUGAUUUAAAUAAAACUUGAAAUCUAUAUUUUGCGACUUAUCAACUGUAAAUUCUUUUCUAUUUUAGCUUCUUUGUAUUGUUGUUUGUAUGUAUGAUUUUUUGAAGAACAUC